rnacentral:rRNA from 1 species
GAAAAGGUCAGAACCGGUGCCCAACUUCCCUAAGAGAAACAUACCUGGGGAAAUGGAGUUUAUUGUUCAACGGGAUUCUGGGGGAAUGCCCUUCCCCAAAAACCUUUGGGCCUUUUAGGAUGGGCUCCCCCCAAUUAGGUAGGCGGUGGGGAACCGCCCACCGCCCCUAUUAUCGGUACGGGUUGGGACACCAGACCCCGGAGACGAAUUUGAGACAAGAUUCCGGCCCUACGGGGCGCAGCAGGCGCGAAACCUUUACACUGCACGCAAGUGCGAUAAGGGGACCCCAAGUGCGAGGGCAUAUAGUCCUCGCUUUUCUCGACUGUAAGGCGGUCGUGGAAUAAGAGCUGGGCAAGACCGGUGCCAGCCGCCGCGGUAAUACCGGCAGCUCAAGUGAUGACCGAUAUUAUUGGGCCUAAAGCGUCCGUAGCCGGCCACGAAGGUUCAUCGGGAAAUCCGCCAGCUCAACUGGCGGGCGUCCGGUGAAAACCACGUGGCUUGGGACCGGAAGGCUCGAGGGGUACGUCCGGGGUAGGAGUGAAAUCCCGUAAUCCUGGACGGACCACCGAUGGCGAAAGCACCUCGAGAAGACGGAUCCGACGGUGAGGGACGAAAGCUAGGGUCUCGAACCGGAUUAGAUACCCGGGUAGUCCUAGCUGUAAACGAUGCUCGCUAGGUGUGACACAGGCUACGAGCCUGUGUUGUGCCGUAGGGAAGCCGAGAAGCGAGCCGCCUGGGAAGUACGUCCGCAAGGAUGAAACUUAAAGGAAUUGGCGGGGGAGCACUACAACCGGAGGAGCUUGCGGUUUAAUUGGACUCAACGCCGGACAUCUCACCAGCUCCGACUACAGUGAUGACGAUCAGGUUGAUGACCUUAUCACGACGCUGUAGAGAGGAGGUGCAUGGCCGCCGUCAGCUCGUACCGUGAGGCGUCCUGUUAAGUCAGGCAACGAGCGAGACCCGCACUUCUAAUUGCCAGCAGCAGUUUCGACUGGCUGGGUACAUUAGAAGGACUGCCGCUGCUAAAGCGGAGGAAGGAACGGGCAACGGUAGGUCAGUAUGCCCCGAAUGAGCUGGGCUACACGCGGGCUACAAUGGUCGAGACAAUGGGUUGCUAUCUCGAAAGAGAACGCUAAUCUCCUAAACUCGAUCGUAGUUCGGAUUGAGGGCUGAAACUCGCCCUCAUGAAGCUGGAUUCGGUAGUAAUCGCAUUUCAAUAGAGUGCGGUGAAUACGUCCCUGCUCCUUGCACACACCGCCCGUCAAAGCACCCGAGUGAGGUCCGGAUGAGGCCACCACACGGUGGUCGAAUCUGCUCGCAGUUCG